GUAAGUACGGGUAAAUGUGAACUAUAUUAUUUAUAUUAUCACCUAAUCUGCUAAAUUCAACUAUAAGGCAUGAAGAUAUUAAGAUAUUAUAAACAUUAACUCAAUGAUUGUCUGUAAAGCUGCUUUAAAACAAUAUGUAUUGUGAAGAGCACAAUACAAAUCACUUUUCUUUUUACUUGACUUGAGAUGAAUGGGAAUGCUAAUGUCACGGUUCAUGAAUGCACCGUCUCCUGCUGGUUUGUUGUGACGUCAUGUUAAUUGUUUUCAUGUGGGUGUUACCGCUGAUCGGCUGAUCAGCGGCAGGUGCGGCUCGUUACAUCAGCCUAUAUAAUGCCUGGUCUUUCGUCUCUUGUUUGUCAGAUCGUUGUGUGUGAGGUCCGCGUGGUGUAUGUCUACUCGUUGUUCGGCGUUCCUGCCUCUUGCUCUGUUUCCUGUUCGGUCGUCACUGGAUUACAACCUUGUUUACGGAUAUCUCGCCUUCACCCACUCCACCAACGCACUCAAGGGGAGUGUUUGUUCCUCACCAUCUCCACCAACGCACUCAAGGGAAUCGUCGGGUCUUCACCAGUUCUAUCAGCGCACUCAAGGGAAUCUACUCACCUGUCUGUGCUGCCAUCAAAGUCCCUGCGUCAUUCUCCAGGAGCCUGUCAUCAUCUCAUAGUGUCAAUAAACAUCAUUAUUACUCGCAGUUGCCUCCUGUCCUUUAUCACGCCGUGACAGCUAACAAAUUAGACCCCUUUCUAAAAACCUAAAAAUGAUUUGUCAAAAUAAAUUCUGAGCGUGCCUUUAAUGUACAUGUGCUGUAUGUAGAAAACAUUUGUUGACAUGUUUCAUAGCUCCUCUUAACAAGAUUUGAUCAUCGUUCCUCAAAUACCAUGAACAUAAUCACACUCAGACACACAUGCACACAUCAGAUAUCUAAUGCUUACCCUCUCUAACACAGCCAAUGCUCGAUUUUCCUUCAGCAUAUUGGUCAUGGCAUUCAUCAACAACACAAGUGUAAGAAAUCCCACACAUUAGAGCAUUUGUCUUGGUAAUCCAUAUAGAAAAUUGAAUUCGCCAGUGAUGCUUGAGAACACCUCCUUCUGAAAUCCAGCCAUGGUAUAAUUCUGUUUGGCUCAUAUGAAGAGUCAUCAUACAGCGAUCAUAGGUCAACAGGAAACUAACUGAGGUCUCUUCACUCUGCCCCAUUCUCCAUGCCCGUGCAAACAGCUAAUGGGCUGUACCAGAGCAUUAUGGGACCAGAACAGGUCCACUUUGAUUUAUUGAAGUGAAUGAUGAAGGCACCAGUGGUUCAGAUGUUAUAAAGUCUGGUGUUUAUGUGGCGACCCAUUGCCUCUGUGCUAUUAAACCUGGAUAGAUUUUCUGAAAUCAAAGGGACAAUUCACACUAAAAAUUCUGUCAUUUACUCACCAUCAUAUUGUUCCAAACUUAUAACUUUCUUCUGUAGAUAACUAGUUUCUGUGGAUAUAUAUAUAUAUAUAUAUAUAUAUAUAUAUAUAUAUAUAUAUAUAUAUAUAUAUAUAUAUACACAUAUAUAUAUAUAUAUAUAUAUAUAUAUAUAUAGUGAUCAAUCUUUUAAGUUAGAAAUAAAAACACUUAUUUCAAAGGGUUUCCUUCCUCUCACCAUUAAG
ensembl:lncRNA